rnacentral:rRNA from 1 species
GCAGCAGUGGGGAAUAUUGGACAAUGGGCGAAAGCCUGAUCUAGCCAUGCCGCGUAUGUGAAGAAGGUCUUCGGAUUGUAAAGCACUUUAAGUUGGGAGGAAGAACUGCUGGUUAAUACCCUGCAGUUUUGACGUUACCAACAUAAUAAGCACCGGCUAACUUCGUGCCAGCAGCCG